GUGCUUAACACAUGCAAGUCGAACGAACCUUCGGGUUAGUGGCGGACGGGUGAGUAACGCGUGAGAAUCUGCCCUCAGGAGGGGGAUAACGGUUGGAAACGACCGCUAAUACCCCAUAUGCCUACUGGUGAAAUGAAUUUCGCCUGAGGAUGAGCUCGCGUCUGAUUAGCUUGUUGGUGAGGUAAUGGCUCACCAAGGCUUCGAUCAGUAGCUGGUCUGAGAGGAUGAUCAGCCACACUGGGACUGAGACACGGCCCAGACUCCUACGGGAGGCAGCAGUGGGGAAUUUUCCGCAAUGGGCGAAAGCCUGACGGAGCAACGCCGCGUGAGGGACGAAGGCCUCUGGGCUGUAAACCUCUUUUCUCAAGGAAGAAGAUAUGACGGUACUUGAGGAAUAAGCCACGGCU
rnacentral:rRNA from 1 species